rnacentral:lncRNA from 10 species
UAGAUUUUCAUCCAGUUGCCUUUUCAUUUCCUUUUUUUUUUUUAAAUCUCUCCUUCUACUGACCUCUGCCAUUUUAAAAAUCAUUUUUAUGCGAUGCUGGGCAAGUCACUUAGCCUUAAUGCGUCUGGCUUUGUUACCUAGAUACGAAUAACUUUACCUGAAGAACUGUUGUGAUUAAUAUAUUUAAAAGUGCUUCACUUCAUUCCUUUUACAUAGUGGUGUGAUUGGUGAGUGCCUUAUGAAGACUGGUCUUCCUGGGAUUCCUGGACAAAACCUGCAGACAGCUUCUAAGCUAAUUUGAGCCUGCAAGAUUAUCAGAGGGAAAAGAAGAUGUACAAAGAAUGACUCUCAAUUCCCUUCUGAUACACAAGAGAGGAUAAAAACAAUCAACAAGCAAAAACAACCUUAAAUGUGCAUGCUAUACAAUGUUCUCCAAAUCCAGAAGCACUAGAUUCAGGUUUAUUUAUAAGACAAUGCAGUAAAGCAGAGGAUGGAAUCAAGAGGUUACUACAUAGGAACCACUUAUAUUUAAG